GCGGAGGCUUAGCUCACUGGUUACUUCUCAUACUGAUCAACUCCAGCGAGUCUGCGGGCUCCGGAGUUCAAACCACGGGCGCUGCCCUCCACUUUU
rnacentral:vault_RNA from 1 species